rnacentral:rRNA from 1 species
UACGAAGGGUGCAAGCGUUACUCGGAAUUACUGGGCGUAAAGCGUGCGUAGGUGGUUCGUUAAGUCAGAUGUGAAAGCCCCGGGCUCAACCUGGGAAUUGCAUUUGAUACUGGCGGACUAGAGUGCGGUAGAGGAGAGUGGAAUUCCCGGUGUAGCAGUGAAAUGCGUAGAGAUCGGGAGGAACAUCAGUUGCGAAGGCGGCUCUCUGGACCAGCACUGACACUGAGGCACGAAAGCGUGGGGAGCAAACAGG